rnacentral:rRNA from 1 species
CAAUUACACCGUAAAUUUAACUGUUAAUCUAAAGGGGUACAGCCCUUUAGACUAAGGAUACAACCUUAAUUAGAGAGUAAAACAUAUCAAUAACCAUAGUUGGCCUAAAAGCAGCCACCAAUUAAGAAAGCGUUCAAGCUCAACAAUAACUUACCUCUUAAUUUCAAUAAUCACUAUUUAACUCCUAAUUUACCACUGGACCAAUCUAUUAACUAAUAGAAGAAAUACUGUUAAUAUGAGUAACAAGAUUUGCAUCUCCUAGCACAAGCUUAUGUCAGACCAAAUAAUAACUGAUAGUUAACAGCCAAAUAAAUAUAAUUUCGCAUAAACCAUUUAUUAACCCACUGUUAAUCCAACACAGGUGUGCAUAAAGGAAAGAUUAAAAGGAAUAAAAGGAACUCGGCAAACACAAACCCCGCCUGUUUACCAAAAACAUCACCUCUAGCAUUACUAGUAUUAGAGGCACUGCCUGCCCAGUGACAACUGUUAAACGGCCGCGGUAUCCUGACCGUGCAAAGGUAGCAUAAUCAUUUGUUCCUUAAAUAGGGACUUGUAUGAAUGGCCACACGAGGGUUUAACUGUCUCUUAUUUCUAAUCAGUGAAAUUGACCUUCCCGUGAAGAGGCGGAAAUAAUCUAAUAAGACGAGAAGACCCUAUGGAGCUUUAAUUGACUUAGCCCAACAGAAUAACAUUCAACUCCACCAAGGACUAACAAACAUUCUAGCUGGGCUAUAAAUUUCGGUUGGGGUGACCUCGGAGCACAAAGUAACCUCCGAGAAGUAUCUACUAAGACUAACAAGUCAAAGUAAAAUUUUGAAUUGAUCCAGUCUCACUGAUCAACGGAACAAGUUACCCUAGGGAUAACAGCGCAAUCCUAUUCUAGAGUCCCUAUCGACAAUAGGGUUUACGACCUCGAUGUUGGAUCAGGACAUCCCAAUGGUGCAGCAGCUAUUAAGGGUUCGUUU